GUAAAUGCAGUAAUAUCAUUGCGAAAUAGAUCUGAAGUGGCAUUUGUACUUAAAGGUAUAUCUUGGGAUCCUCCGGAUGAUGCCCUUAUCUUCAUUGGUGCCUCACCAAGUUUAAACUGUUUUGUGGCUUCUUUUAUUUUGUCAACAUCAACAGUAGUGGAUGCAACUGGUCUGUCACGAAUUUUUAUCAGGAUUUUUUUAGACUUAGAUAUGCUUUCAUCUUCAUCACUACUACUUCCAUUUGCAGUACUAUAAAGAGAUUUCUUAAACUCCUCUGCUGCUUUGACCUGCUCAUCUCCUGUGGUAGUAGAUGUACCAGAAGCUAGUUGCUUACUUAAGGUGUCCG
rnacentral:lncRNA from 1 species